AUUUAAACUGACGCAACAUUGUGUAAAAACUGAAACAUUUAUAUAUGUCACUUAUUUAUACAUGUGAGUUUGUAAAUAUUUACAAUCAACUCAACUUUGGAAAGUACUUAGGUACGUUUGUUCCGUUUGGAACAGGCUAAGGUCGGAGACCAUGCUGCCUAGUCUUCAAAAAGAUAAUUUGUCUGGAAUUUUAUUUUUCUAAUGUCGCUUCAAUUAUUGUCAUAAUCUUCAAUAUUUCAUUUGUCAAAUCCGAUGCUGCAACGCUCAGAAUUCUUACAGAAUUUAGCUAAAUGUCCAUACCUCAAGCACCGGUAGCAUUGUUUAACUGGUGGUAUAUAUGGAGUGACAUUGUGGCGCCAACCUCCAAUAUCCAGAUAUUCAGGUAAUACAGAUGCAGCAAAAGUAAUUGUCACGGUUAGAGUUGGCUGUAACACAUAUCCAUGAGUCAAGGUAUUUUUUCUUAAAAUUCUUUUAAUAGCAAUAAUUUUCUUAGAACUCGAUAUCAUAGUAUAUAUUUUUUUAUUAGAUAUAUUUGUAGGUACAUUUCUAAUAACGCCUGUAACUUCUGUUGAAGAAGCAGGAAUACUGGCCUUAAAAUGGUAGUCAUUUAAAAAAGUUUUAUUAUUUAAAAAAGCAUUGGCUAAGUCUGGCUUUUGAAAGUAUACUCCGAUUUUGAAUUUAUUUAUAGAUCUAAGAUAAGUUACCCCUUUAUUAAAUCGUUUUAAACAGGAGGAGAGUGAGAGCAAGUCUCUGGAUCCAAUGGUUUUCUGACUAUCUGAGGAUUCUACAAAGACAACAAAUUCUGUCCCAGGGGAUUCCUCGGGAUAUCUUCUAAUAUAAUCUGUGACGUAGUAAGGUUUAUACUUAUCGGCCUUAUCAAUUUCAGAUUCUGAGUCAGUAGAAGUAUCUUCCGAAUAUAUAUCCUUGUCAUUACAAGGUUCAUGGUCUACAUCACCUGAAUCGUCAUCUUUUUUUUUCCUUUUUCUACAACUGCGCUUCCCCAUGAAUACUAAUUAUAUUACUGUCGCUGAAUUUAGUGAAAAUAUAAUAUUUUAUUCAAUAAUAAGAAUUGAUAGAGAUAGUUUUAAUAAAUUAAUAAAAAAAAUUUAAAAAACCCGCUUGUUCUUAUUCGAGUUUCCCGCCU